CUGAAUAUGGUCGUUGCAUCGGAAUUUUAUUUCAAAUCUCUUUAUCGUAGAGCCAUUUUAUUCAUUCUCAUUUAUGCAUAUAAAAAUGCAAUCGUACAAGGGGCACGUUUAAAAAUAAACGAUCUUCGAAGUACCGACUUUGAAGGCAAUGGUUUAAAUGAUUUUGAAAUCUCUAAUUAUCAACGGAGUAAUUUAAAAAUAAAAAAUCUCCGAGCCACCAAUCAGCGUAGCACUAUAGGAUCCAAAGAAUCAAUUUUGGCCCAAACGAAAAUGACUAAAUUAAGAUCUGCGUAUUUACAAUCUACGAAAGGUAAAAACAGGAAGAAAUACAUGCUCAAAACAAAUACACCAAGCAAAUUAACAUUUCCAACGGACCCUAAAAUGGUGUCGACAUUUCAAACAAGUUCAAAGAAAAAAUUUUCUGUUAUAACGAAUUCAAAAGAAAUAUUAAAAAAUAAAAAAAA